rnacentral:rRNA from 1 species
AACGAACGCUGGCGGCAGGCUUAACACAUGCAAGUCGAGCGCCCCGCAAGGGGAGCGGCAGACGGGUGAGUAACGCGUGGGAAUCUACCCAUCUCUACGGAAUAACGCAUGGAAACGUGUGCUAAUACCGUAUACGUCCUUCGGGAGAAAGAUUUAUCGGAGAUGGAUGAGCCCGCGUUGGAUUAGCUAGUUGGUGGGGUAAAGGCCUACCAAGGCGACGAUCCAUAGCUAGUCUGAGAGGAUGAUCAGCCACACGGGGACUGAGACACGGCCCAGACUCCUACGGGAGGCAGCAGUGGGGAAUAUUGGACAAUGGGCGCAAGCCUGAUCCAGCCAUGCCGCGUGAGUGAUGAAGGCCCUAGGGUUGUAAAGCUCUUUCACCGGUGAAGAUAAUGACGGUAACCGGAGAAGAAGCCCCGGCUAACUUCGUGCCAGCCGCCGCGGUAACAC